rnacentral:rRNA from 1 species
GCUUGUCUCAAAGAUUAAGCCAUGCAUGUCUAAGUAUAAGCAUUAUACAGUGAAACUGCGAAUGGCUCAUUAUAUCAGUUAUAGUUUAUUUGAUAGUCCCUGCUAUUUGGAUAACCGUAGUAAUUCUAGAGCUAAUACAUGCACAAAGCGACCUUCACGGGUCGUGUAUUUAUUAGAUGGAAACCAAUGCGGGGCAACCCGGUAUAUGGUGAUUCAUAAUAACUUUCGGAUCGAUUUAUCGAUGCAUCAUUCAAGUUUCUGCCCUAUCAGCUUUGGAUGGUAGGGUAUUGGCCUACCAUGGCUUUAACGGGUAACGGAGAAUUAGGGUUCGAUUCCGGAGAGGGAGCCUGAGAAAUGGCUACCACAUCCAAGGAAGGCAGCAGG